rnacentral:rRNA from 1 species
CCUACGGGGGGCAGCAGUGGGGGAUAUUGCACAAUGGGCGAAAGCCUGAUGCAGCGACGCCGCGUGAGGGAAGACGGUCUUCGGAUUGUAAACCUCUGUCUUUGGGGAAGAAGAUGACGGUACCCAAAGAGGAAGCUCCGGCUAACUACGUGCCAGCAGCCGCGGUAAUACGUAGGGAGCGAGCGUUGUCCGGAAUUACUGGGUGUAAAGGGAGCGUAGGCGGGGAUGCAAGUUGGAUGUUUAAACUAUCGGCUCAACCGGUAAUUGCAACCAAAACUGCAACUCUUGAGUGAAGUAGAGGCAGGCGGAAUUCCUAGUGUAGCGGUGAAAUGCGUAGAUAUUAGGAGGAACACCAGUGGCGAAGGCGGCCUGCUGGGCUUUAACUGACGCUGAGGCUCGAAAGCGUGGGGAGCAAACAGGAUUAGAUACCCCGGUAG